UACAGAGGCCUCGAGCGUUAUGCGGAAUCACUGGGCUUAAAGCGCGUGUAGGCGGACUUCUAAGUACCUUGUGAAAUCCCACGGCUUACCCGUGGAACGGCUGGGUAUACUGGGAGUCUUGAGCCACCUAGGGGCGAGUGGAACAAAUGGUGGAGCGGUGAAAUGCGUAGAUAUCAUUUGGAACGCCAAUGGUGAAAACAACUCGCUGGGGGUGUGCUGACGCUGAGACACGAAAGCCAGGGGAGCGAACGGG
rnacentral:rRNA from 1 species